rnacentral:rRNA from 1 species
AAAUUGAAGAGUUUGAUCAUGGCUCAGAUUGAACGCUGGCGGCAGGCCUAACACAUGCAAGUCGAACGGUAACAGGAAGCAGCUUGCUGCUUCGCUGACGAGUGGCGGACGGGUGAGUAAUGUCUGGGAAACUGCCUGAUGGAGGGGGAUAACUACUGGAAACGGUGGCUAAUACCGCAUAACGUCGCAAGACCAAAGAGGGGGACCUUCGGGCCUCUUGCCAUCAGAUGUGCCCAGAUGGGAUUAGCUAGUUGGUGAGGUAACGGCUCACCAAGGCGACGAUCCCUAGCUGGUCUGAGAGGAUGACCAGCCACACUGGAACUGAGACACGGUCCAGACUCCUACGGGAGGCAGCAGUGGGGAAUAUUGCACAAUGGGCGCAAGCCUGAUGCAGCCAUGCCGCGUGUAUGAAGAAGGCCUUCGGGUUGUAAAGUACUUUCAGCGGGGAGGAAGGUGUUGUGGUUAAUAACCGCAGCAAUUGACGUUACCCGCAGAAGAAGCACCGGCUAACUCCGUGCCAGCAGCCGCGGUAAUACGGAGGG